rnacentral:snRNA from 1 species
AGCUUUGUGCAGUGGCAGUAUCGUAGCCAAUGAGGUUUAUCCGAGGCGCAAUUGUUGCUAAUAGAGUAAGGUCUUACUAUGCAGCUUGAACUUGUAGUGAUCCUAUCUCAGCCUCCCCAGGGCUGGGAUUGCAGACACGUGCCACCACG